rnacentral:rRNA from 1 species
AGUGAACGCUGGCGGUAGGCUUAACACAUGCAUGUCGAACGGCAGCACAGUAAGAGCUUGCUCUUACGGGUGGCGAGUGGCGGACGGGUGAGGAAUACAUCGGAAUCUACUUUUUCGUGGGGGAUAACGUCGGGAAACUUACGCUAAUACCGCAUACGACCUACGGGUGAAAGCAGGGGAUCUUCGGCCCUUGCGCGAUUGAAUGAGCCGAUGUCGGAUUAGCUAGUUGGCGGGGUAAAGGCCCACCAAGGCGACGAUCCGUAGCUGGUCUGAGAGGAUGAUCAGCCACACUGGAACUGAGACACGGGCCAGACUCCUACGGGAGGCAGCAGUGGGGAAUAUUGGACAAUGGGCGCAAGCCUGAUCCAGCCAUACCGCGUGGGUGAAGAAGGCCUUCGGGUGGGAAAGCCCUUUUGUUGGGAAAGAAAAGCAGCAGGUUAAUACCCCGCUGUUCUGACGGUACCCAAAGAAUAAGCACCGGCUAACUUCGUG